AACGAACGCUGGCGGCAGGCCUAACACAUGCAAGUCGAACGCCCUGGCAACAGGGAGUGGCAGACGGGUGAGUAACGCGUGGGAACGUGCCCUUCGGUUCGGAAUAACUCAGGGAAACUUGAGCUAAUACCGGAUACGUGCGAGAGCAGAAAGAUUUAUCGCCGAAGGAUCGGCCCGCGUCCGAUUAGCUAGUUGGUGAGGUAACGGCUCACCAAGGCGACGAUCGGUAGCUGGUCUGAGAGGAUGAUCAGCCACACUGGGACUGAGACACGGCCCAGACUCCUACGGGAGGCAGCAGUGGGGAAUAUUGGACAAUGGGCGCAAGCCUGAUCCAGCCAUGCCGCGUGAGUGAUGAAGGCCCUAGGGUUGUAAAGCUCUUUUGCCAGGGACGAUAAUGACGGUACCGCAAGAAUAAGCCCCGGCUAACUUCGUGCCAGCCGCCGCGGUAA
rnacentral:rRNA from 1 species